UCUCUCUCUCUCUCUCUCUCUCUCUCUCUCUCUCUCUAACCCAACUGCGACGCUCCCAUUGCUCGCUGUCUUACAUUCUCUUCUUCCCCCCCCCUCCUCUCUCUCUACUUUUCUUUUUCCGCUCUCAACUUUUUGGUUUUUUCUUGCAAGUUUUCUACAGGGUUUUGUCUCUCUCAAAAUAGUCUCUUUCUCCUUCCUGCUCGUUCUCGUGCGCCGAAAAGGGAGGCAGGAGGGAAAAAGAGAGAGAAUCCUCAAGUAUCCUUAUUGCCUCUCUUUCUCUCUCUUCUGUGCCUCUUUUCUCUCUCUAACCUAUCAAGGAUGCAAUUUCUCCUCUCUCUCUCUCUCUCUAUCCCCAAGUUUUCUCCAAGAUCCUCAUUGCCUGUAUGACUGAAAUGCCUCUCUUUCUCUCUCUAACCUAUGAAGGAUGCAAUCCCUCUCUCUCUAAAACCCGUUUCUUUUUUGUAUCCAAAUAAGGCAGGUAAAGUUUGACUCUGGUCUCGCUAUUUUUUAUCGCGGUUACCCAAUCAAAAUCGUUCGUUUCAAUCUGUU
rnacentral:lncRNA from 1 species